AGGACGAACGCUGGCGGCGUGCUUAACACAUGCAAGUCGAGCGGAAAGGCCCUUCGGGGUACUCGAGCGGCGAACGGGUGAGUAACACGUGAGCAACCUGCCCUUAGCUCUGGGAUAGCUCCGGGAAACCGGAAUUAAUACCGGAUAUUACACCGGCUGGCAUCGGCUGGUGUGGAAAGAUUUAUCGGCUAAGGAUGGACUCGCGGCCUAUCAGCUUGUUGGUGGGGUAGUGGCCUACCAAGGCGACGACGGGUA
rnacentral:rRNA from 1 species